rnacentral:rRNA from 1 species
UACGUAGGGGGCAAGCGUUGUCCGGAAUCAUUGGGCGUAAAGAGCGUGUAGGCGCCAGAAAAGUCCGCUGUGAAAACUCGAGGCUCAACUUCGAGCUGUCGGUGGAAACUUUCUGGCUAGAGUCCCGGAGAGGAAGAUGGAAUUCCCGGUGUAGCGGUGAAAUGCGUAGAUAUUCGGAAGAACACCGGUGGCGAAGGCGACCUUCUGGGCCGCAACUGACGCUGAGGCACGAAAGCGUGGGGAGCAACGGG